rnacentral:RNase_P_RNA from 1 species
AAAGUGGUCCGGGUGACCGCUUGCCCCGCCUCUGGCGGGGCGGGAGGAAAGUCCGAGCACCGCAGGGCAGGAUGGUCGGUAACGCCGACCGGGGGUGACCCCAGGGAAAGUGCCACAGAGAGCAGACCGCCUGCCAUAGCCUCAUGUCCACCGAAGCCUUGGCGAAGGUGGAUGGCGACGGCAGGUAAGGGUGAAAGGGUGAGGUAAGAGCUCACCAGUGCCAGUGGUGACACCGGCAGCUAGGUAAACCCCAUCCGGUGCAAGGCCAAAUAGGGGAGCGAUAGAGGGCGGCCCGUCCAAGGCUCCCGGGUCGGCCGCUAGAGGCCGCCGGCAACGGCGGUCCCAGAUGAAUGGUCACCCAGCCUUCGCCAUGCUACCGCAUGGUUGCGCCGUGGCAAAUCCUACGGGAACUUGUCACGCCAUGGUCCUGAGCAUAGCGAGGGACGAAGGCGGACAGAACUCGGCUUACAGGGCCGCUUUGCAG